UACGUAGGGGGCAAGCGUUGUUCGGAAUUACUGGGCGUAAAGGGCUCGUAGGCGGCCAACUAAGUCGGACGUGAAAUCCCUCAGCUUAACUGGGGAACUGCGUCCGAUACUGGAUGGCUUGGAUUUGGGAGAGGGAUGCGGAAUUCCAGGUGUAGCGGUGAAAUGCGUAGAUAUCUGGAGGAACACCGGUGGCGAAGGCGGCAUCCUGGACCAAUAUUGACGCUGAGGAGCGAAAGCUAGGGGAGCAAACGGG
rnacentral:rRNA from 1 species